CUUGGCAAUGUGCGAAAGCACGACAAGGUUAAUCCGAGUGUCUCCUGCUAAAGGAGUCUUUUGUCAANUUGUAGAAUCACUGGUGAAUAAGGGGUGGNCAAGUUCUGGUGUCAGCCGCCGCGGUAAAACCAGCACCUCGAGUGGUCAGGAGGCUUAUUGGGCCUAAAGCAUCCGUAGCCGNUUGCAUAAGUUUUCGGUUAAAUCUAUGCGCUUAACGUAUAGGCCGCCGAAAAUACUGUGCAGCUAGGGAGUGGGAGAGGUACACGGUACUCGAUAGGAAGGGGUAAAAUCCUUUGAUCUAUUGAAGACCACCUGUGGCGAAGGCGGUGUACCAGAACACGUUCGACGGUGAGGGAUGAAAGCUGGGGGAGCAAACCGGAUUAGAUACCCGGGUAGUCCCAGCUGUAAACGAUGCAGACUCGGUGAUGCAUUGGCUUGUGGCCAAUGCAGUGCCGCAGGGAAGCCGUUAAGUCUGCCGCCUGGGAAGUACGUACGCAAGUAUGAAACUUAAAGGAUUGGCGGGGGAGCACCACAAGGGGUGAGGCCUGCGGUUCAAUUGGAGUCACGACGGAUUAGAUGCAUUGG
rnacentral:rRNA from 1 species